CAGUCGCCGCGGGAAAACGGAGGGAGCUAGCGUUGUUCGGAAUCACUGGGCGUAAAGCGCACGUAGGCGGCUAUUCAAGUCAGGGGUGAAAGCCCGGGGCUCAACCCCGGAACUGCCUUUGAAACUAGAUAGCUUGAAUCUUGGAGAGGCGAGUGGAAUUCCGAGUGUAGAGGUGAAAUUCGUAGAUAUUCGGAAGAACACCAGUGGCGAAGGCGACUCGCUGGACAAGUAUUGACGCUGAGGUGCGAAAGCGUGGGGAGCAAACAGGAUUAGAUACCCCCGUAGUCCCUGUCUCUUAUAC
rnacentral:rRNA from 1 species